GCAGCCUUCGGCUGCCGAAGCUUGCCCCCGAAAGGAGACUUUCGUCUUUGUCUGGGAGUUUCGGCCGCCGAAAGUGCCGCCGAACAUGCAUGAGUUUCGCCUUUGUCUGGGAGUUUCGGCCGCCGAAGGUGCCGCCGAACCUGCCUGACUUUCAGCUCUGGAGGGACUUUCGGCCGCCGAACCUGCCGCCGAAAGUGCCCUGUUCAGCCAUUUCUUGCAUGUUUUUCUAUGAUUGUUUCAUGAUGUUUUAGGGGGUUUUUGGGGAGUAGUUUAGAGUUAUGUUCUUGUUUGUUUGGUCCCUCAUUUGAG
rnacentral:lncRNA from 1 species